UGAGGAAUAUUGCGCAAUGGGGGAAACCCUGACGCAGCGAUGCCGCGUGAGUGAAGAAGGCCUUCGGGUCGUAAAGCUCUGUCAAACGGGAAGAACAGUCUGGGGACGAAUAAUCUCCGGGCCUGACGGUACCGUUGAAGGAAGCACCGGCUAACUCCGUGCCAGCAGCCGCGGUAAGACGGAGGGUGCGAGCGUUAUUCGGAGUUAUUGGGCGUAAAGAGUGUGUAGGCGGUCGAUCAAGUCUGAUGUGAAAGCCCGGGGCUUAACCUCGGAAGGGCGUUGGAAACUGGUCGACUUGAGUUCGGGAGAGGAAAGCGGAAGUCCGGGUGUAGAGGUGAAAUUCGUAGAUAUCCGGAGGAACACCGGUGGCGAAGGCGGCUUUCUGGAGCGAAACUGACGCUGAGACACGAAAGAGUGGGGAGCAAACAGG
rnacentral:rRNA from 1 species